GGGGGGGGGGGGGGGGGGGCGUGGGACGGGCGGGUCGGGCGGAAAGGCUCCAGCUUGCUGGAGUACUCGAGUGGCGAACGGGUGAGUAACACGUGGGUAGUCUGCCCUGCGCGCUGGGAUAAGCCUGUGAAACUGGGUCUCAUACUGGCUAUGACCUUUCUCCUUAUGGGGUUUGGUGGAAAGUUGUUCCGUGUAGGAUGAGCCCGCGGCCUAUCAGCUUGUUGGUGGGGUGAUGGCCUACCAAGGCGACGAAGGGUAGCCGGCCGGAGCGGGUGAUCGGACAGAUUGGGAGUGAGAUACGGGCCAGAGUACUACGGGAGGCAGCAGUGGGGAAUAUUGCACGAUGGGCGGAAGCAUGAUGCAGCGACGCCGCGUGAGGGAUGACGGCCUUCGGGGUGUAAACCUCUUUCAGCAGGGACGAAGCGUAAGUGACGGUACCUGCAGAAGAAGCACCAGCUAGCUAUGUG
rnacentral:rRNA from 1 species